UGCCCCUUGGCAAUCAUUAUUUCACCUGACCGCUUGAUCUUUCUUUUCAACAUCUUGAAUAUGGGUUCACACGUGGCUGUUAGAUGAGAUGUGAACCAUGACAUGUAGUUCAAUCUACCUAAUAGACCACGAACCUCUUUUUCCAUUCUCGGUUCAGGCAUUUCUUGUAUUACUUUCUUUUUUUUUCUUUUUUUUUUAGCAGGAUCAACCUCGAUUCCUCUCUUACAACG
rnacentral:lncRNA from 1 species